AGAGACCCACACCAUGUUAUAAUCGGGUUUUGUGUAUAUACAUAAUCCGACAGAAAAAUCCAUGAAAACAUGGUCUAAUCUCUGACGACCAAGCAAAUCACAGUCCAUGAGAUUCCGGAGGAUAUGUGGUUCAAGAAACGUCUCAAGCCCCCUGUGUUUGAGGGGAAAGCUUUUACAAACUUGGAUGAUGUCGAUGCUGCUUUCGAGGGCUUGGAAGUGAGUCACAAGAGGCUUUGAUGCCAAUUCAUGUGGAAACUUUAUAAUCAACGUUAGGAGAGACAUUAAUAUUUUUUUUGAUUGGUUGAGUGGUGCUAUUAUAUUUGUGGAGACGUUUUGCUUAGCUCCACCACCGUACUGCUCAUAUGAAACACAAAUAUGUCGAUGCAGUGGAGGUAAGCAUCUGAACUAAUUGAAACAGGGAAGAAUGAUUGAAGCUAAAUGAGCUUAGAUGAAUGUUAGGAUAGGUGAGAAGAAACUGGUGGAAGUAUUACAAUGUUUGUUCUUGCAGUGGGUUGAACUGAAGGCUUCAGAACAACAAGAAGAUGAUGGUACAGAGAGUGCAUUUUCUGUUGCAGUUGCAGUCAACGGCAGAGGUUGUUUUCAAUGGUUCAGGGUGGUAUUGAUGGCAUGAAGAAGAAGAAGAAGAAGCUGAUGCUGCCUGAGUUAAGAAGAUAAAAUGAGAUUGCAGUGGAAUUUUUCACAUGGGGCUGUUACGUUGCCUUUUCUUAAGGACGCACUGGAUUUCUUGAAAGAACUCCUGGAAACACAAUCUGGAAUGAGAUAUUCAGAAUUUAGAGAAUUAAUUAGGGCAUACAAUUUGACGUUUGCAUUGACGUGGACGGGUGACGAGAUAGAUAAAUACAAUUAAC